CGGUGCCGGCGGGGGUAGCACCGCCGCCGGCGGCGCCACCGGCGCCGCCGGCGCCGCCGGAGCCGAUGAGGAAGCCGGCUUUGCCGCCGGCGCCACCGGC
rnacentral:tRNA from 2 species